CGCGUAGGCGGCCCGCUAAGUCGAACGUGAAAUCCCCGGGCUCAACCCGGGAACUGCGUCCGAUACUGGCGGGCUUGAAUCCGGGAGAGGGAUGCGGAAUUCCAGGUGUAGCGGUGAAAUGCGUAGAUAUCUGGAAGAACACCGGUGGCGAAGGCGGCAUCCUGGACCGGCAUUGACGCUGAGGCGCGAAAGCCAGGGGAGGCAAACG
rnacentral:rRNA from 1 species